GACGAACCUUGCUAACGUUAUUCGGAAUUACUGGGCUUAAAGGGUGCGUAGGCGGCGGAGAAAGUUGGGUGUGAAAUCCCUCAGCUCAACUGAGGAACUGCGCCCAAAACUACUUCGCUCGAGGAAGAUAGGGGGUACGCGGAACUUAGGGUGGAGCGGUGAAAUGCGUUGAUAUCCUAAGGAACACCGGUGGCGAAAGCGGCGUACUGGGUCUUCUCUGACGCUGAGGCACGAAAGCUAGGGGGAGCGAACGGG
rnacentral:rRNA from 1 species